CGCUGUCGACCAACGGAACGUUUUGCAGUAAUACCAGCAGCGCAGCGAUACUAAGGCACCCGCCUGGAAACAGCAGUUAUUGGGACACUGUUAAGGUGACAGCAAAUAUAUUCGGAGCAAAGUAUUUCGUCAACUUUACGGAGGAGGACAUGAUGAAAAUGAACGAGACCUUCUCGCAUUGUCAUGUGAACAAAUCAAGUGCAUAAGCAAGAAACCAUGAGGAGGUCACGAAAACAUUCCAUAACGCACAACCUCCUUGGCAUUGCGUAGCAACAAUUGAUGAAACAUGUCCAGAGGUAUGGAGGGUACUGAAAAUAAAGAUAUCGACGAAGUAUUAGUGUAUGUUAUAUAAUAUUCUGAGGUAGGCUAUGCACUUGAGCAACUUCUAUGUUGAAAAUGAAUAAAUGUUUUUGUGAAACAU